UAAGUGUGUUCCGUAAUAAUGGACGAUG
rnacentral:piRNA from 1 species